CGUGGUUGUGACUGAGUUCUCACAAGAUCUAAUGGUUUUAUAAUGGGCUUUCCCCUUUUUCUUGGGAGUCCUUCAUGUUUGCUUCCCCUUCUGCCAUGAUCGUAAGUUUCCUGAGGCCUCCCCAGUAAGGCUGAAUGUCAUGAGAAGAUGCUCCUCUCCUCCCAACUACGUGACUGCAGUUGCCAUGCUCACCUCCCCCAGAAACUGGAGAUGGUCUAGUCAGUGAGCAAAAGUUCCAAAGUGCUUGGAGAAAAAAGAUGAAAAACAAUUAUAUUUGAAAAGAAUCUGUACUUUAGUAAUAUCCCCAGUGUGUCUUGUGCGCAUUAAAAUGUGAAAUGCACUGCUUUAGACCUGCACAGUGCAACGUGGCAGCCAAUAGUCAUAGGUGGUUUCAAGAAUGUAAAAUGUUGCUCUCAGAAUUGAGAUGUGCUAUUAAGGGUAAAAUAUACACCAGAUUUCAAAGACUUAGAAUGAAAAAAAAUAUAUAUAUGUAAUGUCUCAUUAAGAUUUUUCUUUUGAU
rnacentral:lncRNA from 10 species